rnacentral:rRNA from 1 species
CCUACGGGUGGCUGCAGUGAGGAAUAUUGGUCAAUGGGCUUACGCCUGAACCAGCCAAGUCGCGUGAGGGAAGACUGCCCUAUGGGUUGUAAACCUCUUUUGUCAGGGAGCAAUUGGCGCUACGUGUAGCGUUAUCGAUAGUACCUGCAGACAAAGCAUCGGCUAACUCCGUGCCAGCAGCCGCGGAAAUACGGAGGAUGCGAGCGUUAUCCGGAGUUAUUGGGUUUAAAGGGUGCGUAGGCGGAAUGCCAAGUCAGCGGUAAAAUCGCGGGGCUCAACCUCGCUCCGCCGUUGAUACUGGCGUGCUGGAGUGGGCGAGAAGUAUGCGGAAUGCGUGGUGUAGCGGUGAAAUGCAUAGAUAUCACGCAGAACUCCGAUUGCGAAGGCAGCAUACCGGAGCGCAACUGACGCUGAGGCACGAAAGCGCGGGGAUCGAACAGGAUUAGAUACCCUGGUAGUC